rnacentral:lncRNA from 1 species
UUUUUUUUUUUUUGUCACAAUAAACGGUUGUAUUAAACCAAGAAAAAAUUACAAUCCGGAUGGACAGAGUUUCCUUCAUUCAAGAAGGUAUAUCAUCUAACCGAAAGUAUGUAAAUACUCCGGACGCUUAGAUAACAUAACCUUUCAAGUCCGAAGAGAAAACCCACAAAAAAAGGGCCUCGUUAAAACCCCUCAAGAGCAAAACCCUGUGGGAAAAAAACUCAAGGGGGAAAAAGAGUACCCUACAAAAAAUACAUCGAUUACAAAAUAGACUAAAAAUGAAGUCUUCUUUAUUCCUUUCUAUCUUUGUUUGUAGCUCAACUGUCUUGUCCACCAAAAUUCGCGUCUUCUCGGAAGACGCCUUAAUAGAUAAAUUCUUAAAUGCUUUUUCAAACAUCCUGAAAAUAAGACAAAACAGAAUGAACGAAUGUGAGCAAAUUUAAAAUUAAAAUAAAAGACAUAAACGAGCCAACAUUAUGGCACUUAAAUGCCUCUUAUGGGCCAAUAAUGCCCCAAUAAUGGUCGCCAUAAAUGGUCACCAUAAAUGGUACUAAAACCUUAAUUAAGAAUAAUUAGUAUCCUUAAUUAAGGCACAAUUAUCGCCAAAAUAGUCUUCUUCUCCACCCUUUCUGGACCUAUCCAUCACCACCAUGGAUAUG